rnacentral:rRNA from 1 species
GGGGCGGAACGCUGGCGGCGUGCCUAAAUACAUGCAAGUCGAGCGGAUAGAUCUUUGGAUCUAUGAGCGGCGAACGGGUGAGUAACACGUGGGUAACCUGCCUUUUAGACGGGGAUAACGCCUGGAAACGGGUGCUAAUCCCGGAUGGGAUCGCUGUUCGCAUGAAGAGCGAAGGAAAGGCGCUGCAAGGCGCUGCUAAAAGAGGGGCCCGCGGCGCAUUAGAUCGUAGUUGGCGAGGUAAAGGCUCACCAAGGCGACGAUGCGUAGCCGACCUGAGAGGGUGAACGGCCACACUGGGACUGAGACACGGCCCAGACUCCUACGGGAGGCAGCAGUAGGGAAUCUUCCGCAAUGGGCGAAAGCCUGACGGAGCAACGCCGUGUGAGCGAUGACGGUCUUCGGAUUGUAAAGCUCUGUCAUUUGGGACGAGAGGCAUUGAGAGGAAAUGCUCGGUGCGAGACGGUACCGAAGGAGGAAGCCCCGGCUAACUACGUGCCAGCAGCCGCGGUAAUACGUAGGGGGCAAGCGUUGUCCGGAAUGACUGGGCGUAAAGCGCGCGCAGGCGGUUUCUUGCGUCUGAGGUGAAAGGCCAGGGCUCAACCUGGGAAUGGCGGUGGAAACCGGCGCACUAGAGUAUGGGAGAGGGUGGUGGAAUUCCAGGUGUAG